rnacentral:rRNA from 1 species
CCCUUAGAUGUUCUGGGCUGCACGCGCGCUACACUGAUACUUUCAGCGAGUCCACCACCUUGCCUGAGAGGGUGGGGUAACCUCUGGAAAGUGUAUCGUGAUGGGGAUCGAUUAUUGUAAUUAUUAAUCUUCAACGAGGAAUUCCUAGUAAGCGCAAGUCAUCAGCUUGCAUUGAUUACGUCCCUGCCCUUUGUACACACCGCCCGUCGCUCCUACCGAUUGAAUGAUCCGAUGAAUAUCAUGGAUUGAGGAUGCAAGUAGGUUAGCCUAUCUUCAUCUUCGAGAAGUGAAGUAAAUCUUAUCAUUUAGAGGAAGGAGAAGUCGUAACA